UUUGAGGGGAAUGUUGUUUGGUUCAAGGCCUGGCCACCCCAUGUCUUGGAAUUUAAAAUAUCAUGUCCUCGGACCAGGCUUCAUUCCCCUCAAU
rfam:Populus trichocarpa scaffold_12_contig_60, whole genome shotgun sequence.